AGCGGCACAGCUCAAAUUUGAAAUCUGGCUCCUUUGGGGUCCGAGUUGUAAUUUGUAGAGGGGGCUUUGGCGUUGGCUGUGGUCUAAGUUCCUUGGAACAGGACGUCACAGAGGGUGAGAAUCCCGUACGUGGCCGCCAGCCUCCGCCGUGUAAAGCCCCUUCGAUGAGUCGAGUUGUUUGGGAAUGCAGCUCUAAAUGGGAGGUAAAUUUCUUCUAAAGCUAAAUAUUUGCCAGAGACCGAUAGCGCACAAGUAGAGUGAUCGAAAGAUGAAAAGCACUUUGGAAAGAGAGUCAAAAAGCACGUGAAAUUGUUGAAAGGGAAGCGCUUGCAGCUAGACGUGCCUUGGGUUGAUCAGCCGGGCUUUUGCCCGGUGCACUCUUCCUUUGGCAGGCCAGCAUCAGUUUGGGCGGCUGGAUAAAGGUCUGUUAAACGUGACUCCCUUCGGGGAGAGCUUAUAGGGCAGACGACAUGCAGCCAGUCCGAACUGAGGUCCGCGCAUCUGCUAGGAUGCUGGCGUAAUAGCUGUAAGCGGCCCGUCUUGAAACACGGACCAAGGAGUCUAACAUCUAUGCGAGUGUUUGGGUGUCAAGCCCGAGCGCGUAAUGAAAGUAAACGGAGGUGGGAACCCUUUGGGUGCACCACCGACCGAUCCUGAUGUCUUCGGAUGGAUUUGAGUAAGAGCAUAGCUGUUGGGACCCGAAAGAUGGUGAACUAUGCCUGAAUAGGGUGAAGCCAGAGGAAACUCUGGUGGAGGCUCGCAGCGGUUCUGACGUGCAAAUCGAUCGUCAAAUUUGGGCAUAGGGGCGAAAGACUAAUCGAACUAUCUAGUAGCUGGUUCCUGCCGAAGUUUCCCUCAGGAUAG
rnacentral:rRNA from 1 species